AGUCUGCUGGAGUCAGGAGCGCGAGCCAGGACUCCACCCCAGGCAGUCUCACGUGGGACGUGGGCUUCCUAACCACGGGACCAAAGGACCCUCCUCAAGUUUCAUGGCUAGGGCACCUAACCCCAGUGAGCUGGGCUGCACGCCCUCUAUGCUGUCCUGCCCGACUCAGCCUGGAUUGGUUCCGGAAGUAUCUGUGAGGGCGAAAGGAGCCAACAGGAAGCCGCCUGCUUCCUCCUCCCCUCCCCAGUCCCCGGCACACCACCGAAAGUGUGUGUUUCGUGCUGGCCUGUGAGUGACCGUGCACAACCACAGGACGCGGCUCGGCAAGCGCCAGCGAGACCUGCCCUGGGCAGCAGCGGCUCUGGACAGCGGCCGGCUCCCUCCACCUGCACUGCUCAAGGUCAACACUCAAGACAACGGAGGAUGAGCGAGGCGGCGGGCCCCAGCGGCACACGGGCACGCUGCAGGGCGACUGGGGACAGAUCUGGAGCUGCCGGGCAGGGUGCGGAGGUUAAGGGAGGGAGGCAGCAGCGACCCUCCUGGCUGGUCGGCGGGCUCGGCUCGCCUCUCUGACGUCAAGGUGCCGCAGAACCUCGGUACUGUUCUCUCUUUUCUUUUCUUUCUUUUAUUUAAGAGGCAGAGAGAGAGAGAGAAAAAGGGAUAAAAGAGUCAGAGAGAGAGGACAGAGAAGGGGAGAGACAGCCCCCAUCUGCUGGCUCGCUCCCCAGAUGUCCACAACAGCCAGGGCCGGGUCAGGCUGAAGCCAGGAGCCAGGAGCUCCAUCCGGGUCUCCCACGGGGGUGCAGGGCCCAACGGUCUGCACGAGCAGGAAGCUGGAAUUAGGAGUGGGUCAAGUGCAGAGGCAGGACACGAGCCCAGGCACUCGGGUGUGGGACGCGGGGUCUCGCUCAGACCACCCAGUCCCUGGGGGAGGGGCUGCGAUGGAAAGGGGCCCACCCGCCCACACUCUCUGGGAGCCCACGCGACAACCAGUGCUCUCUCGCUCACUCAGCAAAUGAAGCACGAGCCCCUGCCGAGGGCGGGGUCCAGCUGGGGAGGAAAGAGGCGGAGGCCCUGACCCUGGGGGUCGGGGGUGACAUCAGACCAGGAAUGUCAGGACAAGGCAGGCGCGUGAGGAAAACUAACCCCAAAAGACCAGGAGGGGUGUGACGUGGGCGCAGGGUGAUGAGGUGACGGGGGGCAGGGGCACAGUCGGGGUGGACACAGACGAACCGAGCGGCGGGGACGGUGCCCCAGAGGCACAGGUGAGGCUCCGGCUCGUGGGGCAAAGUGAGCUGGGGGAACGUUCCGGACUGCACUCUGUGCUCCCUAAGAUCCUCAGGGUGAAACCCUCACCCCCAAAGCCAUGGUCUCCAGGGGCCUCCAGGAGGCGGCUGGUCCUGGGGGUAAGAAGGUGGCCGUCCACAGCCAAGAAGGGACCCUCCUCCACCCCUCCCCGGACCCCGACCCCACGGGCCCCUCAGUCUCGCCUCCAGCCUCCAGAACUGAAUACACACAUCGGGGCUCCAAAGCCUCAGCCUAGGCCCUGUGGCACUCCUCCUAACAGCCAGAGGCACUGAGUCAGGCAGGAGGGGGCGGAGAAGCCUUCAGGAGGGAGGGGCGCCCUGGUGGGUGUGCAGCUUCCUGGGGUGCAGGGGCAGCCACUGAGCUGGAUUCGCCUUUCAGAAGCCGCGAGGCCCGGGCGGCAGGUUUGGGGCACACCGGGCAGCCUCCCAGCACUGCUGCCACUCGGGCAGACAGCGCCCAAGUGCGGGACUCGGGGGGCGGCCAGGCUGGACACACGCAGACGCAUUUCGACUCCUGCAGCUUGGCCAGAUCACCAAGAGAGCAGCUGGAGGUGGAGCAGAGGUGGCUCAAGUUCAGGGGUCACGGAAGCUGGCAGAUGGAGCGGAGGAGACCAGGGAGGGACAGCCCAGCAGAGAAGAGAGAAAUCAAGACAGCGCGGGACUCCACGCAAACACAGCCCGGUCCAAACCCUUAGUCCCCAGCGUGCUGGCUGGGUGACUUCAGCCAGCCACUGAACUCAUCUGAGCUUCGUUUCUGUAUCCAUCUGCCCGUCCGGUGUUCAACAAAACCAGGGCGACACCCAGCAGACACUCGGGCAGAGGGGAGUGUCUGACACGCUGAAGGCGGUUACGCCCAGCGCUGCUGCUGCUGCUGACUUCACGGGCGUGUGAUCUUGAUAAAGGCUUCGGGCGUGCCUCGCGCCCGUCCCACGCGCUUUCCAGGGCAUGCUGUGGGUUCCUCACUCCAGCCGCACACUCCGCUCGGCUCUCUCCCGCGCGGAGCCAGGGCAAGCCGCUCUCCUUGCGGACAAGGCCUUCUCCCUCCUGGGAGUCAGCUUGUGUGCUGCACUCCUGCCGGGGCCGCAGCACCCACGAGGAGUGUCCUGUCCACUGCUGCACAGACGGCGACCGAGGCUGCACGCCGGUGCCAUACUUGCCAGUGAGAGCGAGCCCGGGGCUUGCUUAUGGAUUCGCUUUGCUUCCUGCCAGUUUCUGGAAAGGGAGCUCACAGCAGUGUUACUUGUGACAGCCCCAAAGCGGGGACGGACGCACAGGGGCAGGAGUUCGGCAGAGUGGUCACGAUGCCCACGUCCCACAUCGGAACACCCAGGUUCAACCCGGCUCUGACCCCUGACCCCAGCUCCCUGCUCACGGCCACCUGGAGGCAGCACGACGGCUCAAGGACCUGGUUCCACGUGGGAUCCAGCAUGAGCUCCCGCCUCCCGGCUUCGGACCUGGCUCAGCCCCAGCCGUGUGGACACUGGGGAGCGAACCAGCAGCUCCUGCAAACCUCAGUUACGCGUGUGGGGAUGCCGGCGGUGACGACGCUGAGGGUGCAGCACCAAGCCGUGACCGCUCAGCGUCUGGAGAGACCCCGCUUUCCUAGCAAGCGGGCAAAGUGACUCUUACAUCUAAGUGUGAUCUCGCCAGCCCGACGGCUGCUCACUCUCCUUGGUGUCCCACAACAGCUGGACAUGGAGUCUGUCCUCUGGGCCUUCGCCCAGGAGACAAAAAGGGUUCCUGACGGAGCCAACGGUGGCCAUGGAGACAGGCGCUGGGGUCUCAGAGCCCUGGCCAUCAAGCACUGGGCCGGACUAGUUCAAGGGCAGGGAGUGGCGGUCGGGGGAAGGGCACAGAGGCUGAGCUGGAGCGGGGGCAGGGGGACAGGCAGGACCCCUUGGAGAAGGGCUAUAGCGGGCAGUGUGGGCACAGGCAGGUCCGUCCUGUCUGGUCUCCAGCUUUCACAAGGCCCACCAGCUAAGAAUGGUUUUGACAUUUUUAAGUGGAUGGAGAAGUCACAAUCAAAAUACUUUCUGUGGCAUGAAGAUGAUGGGAAGUCUACGUGUCCGCGUCCAUGCAUGACGUUUUAUUGGCCCACGGCCCGCACGUGCUGUCUGCGUCUUGACGACCACAUGGCCGUCACCGUGCGCUCCCAGCGGACUGUGGAGCUCCCUCCGGUCUCCCACAUGAGUGCAGGGGCCCUGGACCAUCUUCCACUGCCUCCAGCGUAUUAGCAGCCGGGACACAAACCAGUACCCGAAUGGGACGCUGGCACUGGCACCGCACUGCGACGCCUGGCGGACGUGCUCACAGGGGUAUCGCACACCACUCUCCCGCCUCAGCAUGUCCUCGCUGCUCACCAGGGAGGUAGCGCAAGUGCCUGGGACAGGGUGCAGUGCGCUCUUUGCCCAAGGACAUCACACACACCCACCCGGCCACGGCUUCCAGCCCCUGGAAGCAGCAAGUUUGGGAGAAUGAAGAAAAACAGGGCCUGGGCCAUAGCCUUCCUGUAAGGGAGGAGUUGGGGGCUGCCCUAGGAGUCCUGAAUCAGAGGGUGUUCACUAGAGCCGCCCAAUCAGACGUCAGAGGGGACCACAGGAGCUGAGACCUGCUGGGGGUGACGGCGGCUAGAGGACACGACACCCCCAGUCUUCAGGCCUGGGGGAUGCAGGGACGGCUCCAGCAACACCCUUGGCCGAGACCCCCGGACAAGGAGCUGAGUGCUGGCUACUUGGGUUUGUGGCGAGGGCCGGGCACCCAGGGUGGGACCCCACAAUAGUGCACCCCUCUACACUCGGGGCCUUGGUCUUCCUGCUGGCCCUGUGCUCCCUAAAGCUGUCCAAGAAGGAUCCAGACUGAGCUAAGGCUGCCGGGUCAAGGCAAGCGGAGUUGGGCGAGCAGGAGAAAGCGCUCCUCGGACCCUGGCCGGAGCAGGGGCGCCCAUCAGUGCAUGCCCACGCUUCAGGGGUGUCCAGCACUCGGACAGCGUGGGCUUCACGAGGACGACGAGCAAUGCAGUCGCCCCUCGUCUGCAGGGCCACACCCCAGGCCCCCAGUGGAUGUCUGAACCCACAGUAGCAGGCCCUGUGUGUCCUAUUCUUAUACACACAUGUCGACGAUAAGUGCUCAUUUACAAGUGACUAUCAACAGUAACUAAUAAAAUAGAACAAGUACAGUAAUAUGCUGUCACAGGAGUUACUUAAAACUGCUAAGUUGCUUCUUUCUGGAAUUUUGCAUCUAAUAUCUUCGGCUUGUGGCUGACUGUAGAUGGUGUGGGGGCACAGGAAUUGUAAAAGGCCAAGCAGGGGCCUGUGCUGAGGCCGAGGCAUAGAGAAGGUUAAGUCUCCACCUGCGACACCAGUGUCCCACAUGGGUUUGAGCCCCAGCUGUUCCACUUCCAAUCCAGCUCCCUGCUAAUGCACCUGGGGGAGCAGUGGAGGAUGGAGGACGGCCCAAGUCCUCAGGCCCCUGCACCCACGUGGGAGACCCAGAGGAAGCUCCUGGCUCCUGGCUUCGGAUCGGCCCACUUACAGCCACUGCGGCUGUGGCAGCUGUUUGGGGAGUGGAGCAGCAGAUGAGGGAUCCUCUGCCUCACCUCUCUCCCUGUGUAACUCUGCGUUUCAAAUACAUAAAUAAAUCUCAUCAAAGA